AAGCAAUUUGCUCAUAGCCAUAGCUUUCUUGUGAAAGUAGGAUAUUAACCCAGGUGUCUUGGUGCUGGAGAACAGAACUGGCCAGAGUCCAUCCUGUCUCCCACCGGCAUCCCAUUACGAAAUGAACACAGAAAAGGCAGGUCUGCAAUGCCAACAUCUAGUAUCUAUCCCAAAGACCAGGGAGAAAGGAAGGAAAGAUUCUGGUUCUGUCCUCUUCCCCAAGGCAAGGCUGGCUGCCCUACCAACAGAGGCAAAGAGAAGAGUGUGCAAGGCUGGCUGCCCUCCCAACAGAGGCAAAGAGGAGUGUGUGUUGAAAUAUCCAUUGAAUCCCUGAGACAACUGGAUCCUGGCCCAUUGAAUCAUAAACUCAUUUCAGAGAAGAUGAAACUGAUGUGCGUCAAAAAGUUAUGGAGGCUGGGAAGACCUAGAAUGUGGCAUCACUAUUUGCUGAAAUUUUUAAUAUAAUGCCUCUUAGCCUGGUUUGGAGAAAACGUCACAGAGAGGCACCAUUUGUUGUGGUUUUACAUGAAAAUUUUCUGACCCUGAACCUGGUUUGAUGGAAAUCAUUUGCUGAGGAAACCAUGCCGAUUACCGACCGAGCUCUCAAUGGAAAAAUGCAGUCGGCGUGAACCACGCACGAACACAGCAGAGAAAGAAGAAAACACACACCACGAGGAACCCUAAUAGGACAAUACAUUAUAAGUCACAGUGCUACGGAGAAACCCAGUAGCCACAUGGAAGCAGAGACCAUGCAUAUGCAUCUACUCCGCAGCUCUGUGAAUGUCAGCAGCUCCCACGGACUGGAGAUCCCGUGAGAUCCCGUGAGAUCUCACCCAUAGCCUCAUGGUACAUCCACUUGGUGUGCUGGGAGAGUCAGGAUGAGGACCUGAGAAGAACAGCAGCUUGAACCUGACUUCAUUUAACAGCCCACUGCCCUCUUGCCAAGAACCCAUCACAGACCUUCCCAGAAGAGAGGGAUGAGCCUCACCUAUGAAUAAGUCCUCAGAAACUCAAAUUUGAUUCUAAUGGAUUGUUUUCUCAGAAAGACUGAGCAUGUCCCCCCACAUCUCUGUCAUUUCCCACAGUAGUAACCUCUGCAGAUGCCACAUAGAAAACAAAACAAAACAAAAAAACAUGAGGUUGGUGGGCAGAUAGGCAGGGUAUAAACAAACAGCCUUGUAACCCAGAAGCUGUGUGAUAUACAGUAAACUUCACAACACUGAAAAGAUGUCCUAUCUGUUAAAAUGGGGUAAUAACAACUACCCGAAUGUUUAGGAAUAGAACUUCAAUAAAUGAUACAUUUUAUAGUACAGCAGACCAUCCUGUAAAGGUUUCAUCCUUCACUGUGGUGAUAAAUAUCCCAAACCACAUUGAAAAGCAUUGCAUCUACAUUUAUCUACACUGUAACUGUACUGUAAAUCAUGGGGGAGGGGAGAAUCAUAAAAACACCACCUGUCACCGUGUCAUUAAAGCAAGUUGGAAGUGAUACUUACAGAAACACAGCAAGAGCACCCCCAGUCACACAGUUCAAUCUCUUAGCAAGCGUUUUCUUUCUAGCCCAGUGGUUCUCAGUUUGGAAUUUUUGGCACUGCCUAGAGAUAGUUUUGUUGUUAAAACUGAGAAAAGAGCCGGGCGUGGUGGCACACGCCUUUAAUCCCAGCACUCAGGAGGCAGAGGCAGG
rnacentral:lncRNA from 1 species